GGGCGAUUUGUCUGGUUAAUUCCGUUAACGAACGGGACCACAGCCUACUAAAUAGUACGUGUUAUGGUAACAUAGUAUGAGACUUCUUAGAGGGACAUUUCGGGUUUACCGAAAGAAAGUUUGUGGCAAUAACAGGUCUGUGAUGCCCUUAGAUGUUCUGGGCCGCACGCGCGCUACACUGACGACUUCAACAAGUUUUUUUCUUUGAAAAAGUCCUUGGCUGGAAAGUCUGGGUAAUCUUUUAAAUGGUCAUCGUGAUGGGGCUAGAUUCUUGCAAUUAUUAAUCUCCAACGAGGAACC
rnacentral:rRNA from 1 species